GCAUUCGUAACUCAACUGGAUAGAGUACUCGGCUACGAACCGAGCGGUCGGAGGUUCGAAUCCUCCCGGAUGCACCA
rnacentral:tRNA from 1 species